AGUGAACGCUGGCGGUAGGCCUAACACAUGCAAGUCGAACGGCAGCACAGUAAGAGCUUGCUCUUACGGGUGGCGAGUGGCGGACGGGUGAGGAAUACAUCGGAAUCUACUUUUUCGUGGGGGAUAAUGUAGGGAAACUUACGCUAAUACCGCAUACGACCUACGGGUGAAAGCAGGGGAUCUUCGGACCUUGCGCGAUUGAAUGAGCCGAUGUCGGAUUAGCUAGUUGGCGGGGUAAAGGCCCACCAAGGCGACGAUCCGUAGCUGGUCUGAGAGGAUGAUCAGCCACACUGGAACGGAGACACGGUCCAGACUCCUACGGGAGGCGGCAGUGGGGAAUAUUGGACAAUGGGCGCAAGCCUGAUCCAGCCAUACCGCGUGGGUGAAGAAGGCCUUCGGGUUGUAAAGCCCUUUUGCUGGGAAAGAAAAGCAGCAGGUUAAUACCCCGCUGUUCUGACGGUACCCAAAGAAUAAGCACCGGCUAACUUCGUG
rnacentral:rRNA from 1 species